rnacentral:rRNA from 1 species
AUGAACGCUGGCGGCGUGCCUAAUUCCUGCAAGUCGAGCGAACAGACGAGGAGCUUGCUCCUCUGACGUUAGCGGCGGACGGGUGAGUAACACGUGGAUAACCUACCUAUAAGACUGGGAUAACUUCGGGAAACCGGAGCUAAUACCGGAUAAUAUAUUAAACCGCAUGGUUCAAUAGUGAAAGACGGUUUUGCUGUCACUUAUAGAUGGAUCCGCGCCGCAUUAGCUAGUUGGUAAGGUAACGGCUUACCAAGGCAACGAUGCGUAGCCGACCUGAGAGGGUGAUCGGCCACACUGGAACUGAGACACGGUCCAGACUCCUACGGGAGGCAGCAGUAGGGAAUCUUCCGCAAUGGGCGAAAGCUUGACGGAGCAACGCCGCGUGAGUGAUGAAGGUCUUCGGAUCGUAAAACUCUGUUAUUAGGGAAGAACAAAUGUGUAAGUAACUAUGCACGUCUUGACGGUACCUAAUCAGAAAGCCACGGCUAACUACGUG